UACGUAGGGUCCGAGCGUUGUCCGGAAUUAUUGGGCGUAAAGAGUUCGUAGGCGGUUUGUCGCGUCGUUCGUGAAAACUUGGGGCUUAACUCCAAGCGUGCGGGCGAUACGGGCAGACUUGAGUACUACAGGGGAGACUGGAAUUCCUGGUGUAGCGGUGAAAUGCGCAGAUAUCAGGAGGAACACCGGUGGCGAAGGCGGGUCUCUGGGUAGUAACUGACGCUGAGGAACGAAAGCGUGGGUAGCGAACAGG
rnacentral:rRNA from 1 species